GAUUAACGCUGGCGGCGUGCAUAACACAUGCAAGUCGAACGAUGAAACUUUACUGACUUCUUCGGAAUGAUUUAAAGCGGAUUAGUGGCGAACGGGUGAGUAACGCGUGAGUAACCUGCCUUACACAAGGGGAUAGCCUCUGGAAACGGAGAAUAAUACCCUAUGAAACCAGACAAUCGCAUGAUAAUCUGGUCAAAAUGUUUAGUGGUGUAAGAUGGACUUGCGUCUGAUUAGCUAGUUGGUGAGAUAAAAGCUCACCAAGGCAACGAUCAGUAGCCGGCUUGAGAGAGUGUACGGCCACAUUGGGACUGAGACACGGCCCAGACUCCUACGGGAGGCAGCAGUGGGGAAUUUGGCACAAUGGGGGAAACCCUGAUGCAGCGACGCCGCGUGAUUUAGAAGGCCUUCGGGUUGUAAAAAUCUUUUGUAUAGGAAGAAAAUGACAGUACUAUACGAAUAAGGUCCGGCUAAUUACGUG
rnacentral:rRNA from 1 species